GGCCCAGGGAACCAAGCAGCGCUGCCGCUAGCGCCGCUGCAUCGGGAGUUGGAGGAGGGUGAAGCCAGGAAGAAAAUGGCGGCCGUAGCUGCAGAGGCGGCAGCGACUGCAGCGUCCCCCGGGGAGGGGGGCGCCGGCGAGGCCGAGCCGGAGAUGGAGCCCAUCCCCGGCAGCGAGGCCGGCACUGACCCGCUCCCGGUCACCGCCACCGAAGCAUCUGUGCCGGACGGCGAGGCCGACGGGCAGCAGUCCUCUCCUCAGGCCGACGAGCCGCCGCUCCCGCCUCCACCGCCGCCGCCGGGGGAGCUCGCUUGCAGCCCAGAGGCGGCGGGGCUGGAGCUAGAGGCUGAGGAGAAGCUGCCCACCCGGGUGGUGGAGCCGGCGGCAGUCGCGCCUCAGGAAGGGCCCGAUCUUCCACCUUGCCCUGCACCGCCGCCGGAGCAGCCCCCGACUCCCGAGGAGCGCCAGGAGCCGCAGCUGCCCCAGCCCGCAGCCCCGGCGCUCGUGCCGCCGGCGGGCGGGGACUCUGCGGUGUCGCAACUCAUCCCCGGCUCGGAGGUGCGGGUCACGCUGGACCACAUCAUUGAGGACGCGCUCGUCGUGUCGUUUCGCCUUGGGGAGAAGCUCUUCUCCGGGGUCCUCAUGGAUCUGUCCAAAAGGUUUGGGCCCCAUGGGAUCCCUGUGACAGUAUUUCCCAAAAGGGAAUAUAAGGAUAAACCUGAAGCCAUGCAGCUCCAAAGUACUACAUUCCAAGAAGGGACAGAAGUCAAGUGUGAAGUGAAUGGUGCUGUUCCCAAUGACCCUUCUCCAGUCCCGCCUCCCGAGCUGAGCUUGGCUGAAAGCCUGUGGACUUCCAAACCACCACCUCUCUUCCAUGAAGGAGCACCUUAUCCUCCCCCUUUGUUUAUCAGGGACACAUAUAACCAAUCAAUACCUCAGCCACCUCCUCGGAAAAUUAAGCGACCCAAACGAAAAAUGUACAGGGAAGAACCUACUUCAAUAAUGAAUGCUAUUAAACUACGACCCAGGCAAGUCCUGUGUGACAAAUGUAAAAACAGUGUUGUUGCUGAAAAAAAGGAAAUUAGGAAAGGUAGCAGUGCAAGUGACUCUUCUAAAUAUGAAGAUAAAAAACGGAGAAAUGAAAGUGUAACUACUGUGAACAAAAAACUGAAAACUGACCAUAAAGUAGAUGGGAAAAACCAAAAUGAAAGCCAGAAAAGAAAUGCUGUGGUUAAGGUUUCAAAUAUUGCUCACAGCAGAGGCAGAGUAGUCAAAGUUUCUGCUCAGGCAAAUACAUCAAAAGCUCAGUUAAGUACUAAAAAAGUGCUCCAGAGUAAGAACAUGGAUCAUGCAAAAGCUCGGGAAGUGUUGAAAAUUGCCAAAGAAAAGGCACAAAAGAAGCAAAGUGAAACCUCUACGUCCAAAAAUGCACAUUCAAAAGUCCAUUUUACACGUCGAUAUCAGAAUUCUAGCUCAGGUUCCCUUCCACCCCGGGUUCGUUUAAAACCACAAAGGUACAGGAAUGAAGAAAAUGACUCUUCUCUGAAGACAGGACUUGAGAAAAUUCGGAGUGGCAAGAUGGCACCCAAGCCCCAGUCUCGUUGCACCUCUACCCGCGCAGCAGGUCUCAACAAAUGGCAGCUAUUACAUCAGACAGUGACGAAUCCUGCUGCUCCCUUACAGUGUCUGACAGACCACUGUGGAUUCAGACUGGGAGCAUUGAAGUUAACAGUGAAACGGGCAGGUCUCACAAAGACAUUAGCAGGCUGCUGGUUCCAUGGACCUGUAACCACAGUGACAGAACAGCAGAGCAUCAGGACUGAAUGAAAUUGGAGACUCAGAUUUUUAAAGCUGCGCUAAGAAGUGAAUGUUAAGGGCAAUGGUUAAAACCAAGUUUAUACAGGGGCACUUGCAAACUGCUAUAGUAAAUCGAAGAAAAGGAGGUAAUGAACCUGGGAUGAAAGAGAAUACAACUGAAGAAUACUGUGUCAGAGGAAGAAGAACUGGCCACACAGUGGCUAGGUCACUGUCCUUAAGAAUUACGGACACUUCAGUUAGCCCCUUUUAUCAUUCCCUCAUGAGGCCCACUGAGUAAAGGAACAUGAGCUGCUGAUAUUAGAGGAAGAUGCUUCUCUGCAAAUAACUGCACUAGUCUAAGAGACAUGGAUUCUUAGUUGUCAGUGACCUUCCUGACAGAAAACUCGGGCAGUGGCUGCACUGGCCAAAAUGGAGGUGGAAAAGGAGUGUCUCACCUAGUCAGCUCUUAAAGUCCUGCUCAGCCAAGGCCCAAAACAUGGGAGACGUCAGAGAAUCUUCCUUGAGUGAAACAUUCUGUACUCUUCUGCUUCUGAAUUCUGCUAAGCUCAGGUCUACCUCCUGCGGAUCCUGAGUAGAAAGCUCAAGCCUGUGGUUACAGAAGGUAAACUGUAUCAGCAAUGUGAAGCGGUACAGAGCGGGAGCCUGUUGUGUCCCGGCCCCAGAAAAGCACAGCCGAGGCGUCAGAAAGACAAAGCAACAGUACAGAAGACAGUGAUGGGGGUGAUCCUUCACACGCUUAAAUGCAGCUGUCUGAACUUCUGCAGAAAAAAAUGAGGCAGACUGGAAAAGCUUUUGCAACACAAGAGGAAGCUACAACCCCUGGCCUCUGAUGCUAACUCCACCGAUGGCAGAAUCCAACCAAAGUGUCGCACAGCCCUAGGAAAUUAUCAGACCUUUCCUCCCAGUUAACUAACUUCAUGAGACAAAGUUGCCAACAGCAUAUGCUAUUCUGGGGCUGUCAAACCAUCCCAACAAAACAGUCUUGUGUACUUGAGACCGAGGACACCGAGAGCCUACCACAGCCUACAUCCUUUCAGAUGCACACAGUUCUCCCCGCCCCACUCCAUUCCAUCCCCCUGCUCCCAGGCUGGCCUCCCUGAGGACAUCUGUCUUCAGUUUGCUCAGGCAGCAUGUGGCCGCUGCCUGGGGAGCCCAGGUGGGGCGUCUGAUGUAGAAUCAGGAUGGCAUAGAACCCCACAGAGGGACAAUGGUUACAGUAUCUCCAGAUCUAGUGCCUCACAUCUGGAGAGCCUUUGGGUUGGUUCCUUCACAGCUGUCAUGAUGCCUGAUGGCUUAGGAGCCCCAGUGCCUGGUAGUUCCCAUCUAGGACAUAUUUUUCAGAAAGCCAGAAACUAACAGCUGGGGCUGAGUCAUGGCCACGAGUUGCUAGCUGUGGGCUUCCUUGGUAGUGGGGCAGCAAGCCCUGUGGAAGCUCACAUUCCCACCUCAGCUAAAAAAGUUUCCCCUUGAGUGAAAGGAAAAAGGCACGGAGUCCUAUUUCUAGUUACAGCUGACAGAACCUAACUCCUGUAUGAUGGAGUUAGCUGGAGUUACUUAUUCCUACCUGGCGACCUCAGAGGGCUGUUGGAAAGUUAGGAGAAAAUGAGUAUUUGUAGAAUAUUUCAAACAUUUGUAAAGGCAGACUAGGAUAACAAAACCUAAGUACCCAUCUCUAGCUUCAGUAAUUACCAACUCACAGCCAGGAAGACUGACACGUUUGAUGCUUUGAAAUUUGAGGGCAUCCUCCCUAGUUUUCGUAAACUAAUUUUAUCAUUACUUUCUUUGAUUGCCCUUAGGGUUUUAAGCAGUCACCCUCUGGGUAUUUUAGCCCUACCUCUUGUGGCUGGUAGCAAAGAAUGCAUUUGUCAUUCCCGGGAGCAUGAAAGGACUCGGUCUCGUGUGGGCUCAGUGGCUUUCCACACAAGAGUAGGAGGUGACUGGAAAUGAUCACCUCCUUUCUCCAUAGAGCUUUUGAUCGUGCAGUUCCCUGAAGGAACUGAUUCUCCAGCCACUUCUGGUAGAAUAUGCCCACAUUUCCUUUUUAAAAGGAACUCUAGGUGAUGGGAGGACGAAGCUGGUUGCUACUAUUCCAGUGCAGGGGGCAGGCUGAAAAGGACAGAAAUACCUCACUGAAAUGGCUGCCAGGAGAUUUUACUAGGGUGUGUGAGGGUGUCAUCGUACACAAUACACACCAAUAGGAAGAUUAGAGAAAGAGUUCAAUGUCUUACGAGACAAUGGAGGGAUGAGCUAGGGCGGGAUGAGCUAGGGCGGUGAAAGGUAGGAUCAAAAGGGGGAAGUGAUCAUAGAAAGCGACACGAACCACAGCCAAGCUGCAGGCUCACAGGCUUCACCAGCGAGCCUGAGCUCCAGCAGCUCUGGGCCUUCCUUAAUGCCAAGGGCAAGCUUAAGGGACAGCACAGAUAAAAGGAAAAGUCACGUAUUUCCAGUCCUGUGUAUCUCAAAUUUGCACUCUUGUCUUGGAGGGUUUUUGGACCCUUCCCUGUAAAGAGCUUUCUCAAGAUUAAAGCAGCCAUUACCUUACACAACUGUCCCCAUCCUUCUUGGUCUCCUAUCAUAGGCUUCCCUUUGACAUUCCAAGUUUUGCUAAACCAGUUGUAAAAGACAGGACUUGCAGGUCUGCUUAGCUCUUGGGAACAGACAAUCCUUGCAAAUACACCUUUCAGGUUUACAUCUAAUACCUGCUGCCAGCUCGCCAACUCAUGCGUCUAUUCAGACAGUAAAAUGCCUCCAGAAAGUCCUCAUCUGCUCUUCCUUAAUCAGUCUGGAUUCCAGCUUGAGAGCUGUGUGAAUUGUAAUACAGCAAUGUUCCAGAGGCCAGCUCAGACCUGGGACAGCAGAAAGCAGUUCCUUCAACUACACAAAAUACUGUUGGAAAUAGGACUUGUCACUUAUGGACUAAACAAACAUUUGAGCUUUGACUAUACCUGAGCAACUCUGAAGGUCCAGUGUGUGAGGUCUUGUCAUUUUACUGAAGCUCAAGUGUAGGCCCAGGGCUGCGGUGUUCGCAAUUAGCUAGUAGGCUCAGCACUCCCCAGCCUCCACAUCUUGGCAGGGUGUAAUAGUCUCUAUUCCUACAGGCACAAUAACUUGUCAAGUGAUAAGAUGGGGCAUUUUGUGGGAUGGGACGCAGAGCAAGAGGAGAGGAAAAAAACCCAGCUACAGUGCUUGUGAUGGAAGGGGAACAUGUGGAAAGUCAGAGUUCUUAGCAAAAGAGGUUGGAUUUUAAGAACAUUUAACCAUAGCUCGGAUCCAUGAUGUGAGCAAAAUGAACUAAUCCACAGUACACUGCAGAGAAGAACCACCAGCUGGGUAUGCAUUUGUAGAAAGAGUCCCAAUUUCUGGGUAAGCCUGCAGAGGCGCCAGUGAAUGGAAAAGCUGCUCAUGUGAAAGUUGGAAAAGUGGUUAAGACACUGGAAAUAAAUACAGAGAACACAAGACUCAAUGGAAAUGUGAUCAGGGAGAAGGUGAAACUAGAAGACAAGUUAGGGAUUUUUGAGAGUCUCAAGAAAAAUCCUUGCAAAUAUCCAAGAUGCAAAAAUGAAAAUUUGAAAACCAGAAGACACGCUUCUUACAGGCCAGGUUGAAUGUCAACAUCUGAGGACAUUCUACAUGGCGACACAAGAUGGGCUCGCUUGGUUUUAAGUGACUCUUUACAAAAUGUCUUUGUGUUUCACGGGUGCAAUUUACAGGAUUCAUGGUUCAGAAAUCCUAGCUGAGCCCUCUCAAGUGGCCAGAGCGGCACACCUAGUGGAAUAGAAACACUACUGCAGAACGUUAACUGCGGGUGUCGAGGCCGUGCGGGCAGUGCCCAGAAAAGUCCCCGAUCCGUCUGCCCGCCCUGACUAGGUGACGCCAAGCUGUGGUCUUUCCCUGCCUCUGUACCACAUUCUUGGGAAGGUGCAAGAACAGCACAUAAACCUUCCAAGCUAUUUGAUAUUUGAAUCACUUGUUACAUCUUAAAAUUUCGAGGAAGAUGACUAGUUUCUACUUAUCCUGAGAAAACAGAUAAUGGGUGGUAGCAAAGGAGACAUUUUAAAACACAGGACUAAAUAAAGAGCACCGAAUCUAAAGACUUGGGUAGUGAUGGUUGUUCACAUUGAGACCACCCUUGAGGAGUGUCCUUGAAUGCCAAUUUACUGUUUCUAGUAGAGCAGCAGGUGCUGGUGAUACUACAAACAUGAAUGUGGCCCUUACCUUCUCGAAGAUCAUGGUCAAGCUCAUGGUCUCUCAUGGAGGCAGAUGGGGAAUAGAUCAUAGCAUUAAAAAAAAAAAUAUAUAUAUGUCUGUGAGUCUUCAAAAAUAUUCUAGAAGGAGAGUCAAAAUUAUUUUGACCCAUUGCAGUAUCAUUGGACUAGGAAUAUAUACAAUGUCACAGUGUGAUUGCCUUAAUAGUAAAUUCUGGCAUACGUUGUUUUUGGGAGGAGGAAGGCAUCACAGAACUUUAAAUCAUACAUCUUAGCAACAGUAGGCAAAUACAGGCCACCUUCCUCCCUUACACUUACACACCUCCUACUUUUCAACCCUUUCAAGAUUUUUCUCUUGUCAAACAUUUUCAAAAGGUUUGAGUCUUUCUUUUCUUGAAGAUUUUGGAAGUAGAGAAAUAACAGCAGUAGAUAAAAACUCCUUGGCUUAAGCAACAAACUCACACCUACUUAGAUUCCCUUCCUUUCCUUUCCAGAUGCAUUACUUGGCCCACUCACUAAAAGCAUUUAA